CCUACGGGAGGCAGCAGUAAGGAAUAUUGGUCAAUGGGCGCAAGCCUGAACCAGCCAUGCCGCGUGCAGGAUGACGGCCCUCUGGGUUGUAAACUGCUUUUAUACGGGAAGAACAGCAUCUACGUGUAGGUGUUUGACGGUACUGUAAGAAUAAGGACCGGCUAACUUCGUGCCAGCAGCCGCGGUAAUACGAAGGGUCCAAGCGUUAUCCGGAUUUAUUGGGUUUAAAGGGUGCGUAGGCGGCUUUUUAAGUCAGUGGUGAAAGCCUGAUGCUCAACAUCAGAACUGCCAUUGAUACUGAAGAGCUUGAGUACAGUUGAGGUUGGCGGAAUGUGUCAUGUAGCGGUGAAAUGCUUAGAUAUGACACAGAACACCGAUUGCGAAGGCAGCUAGCUAAGCUGUUACUGACGCUGAUGCACGAAAGCGUGGGGAGCAAACAGGAUUAGAUACCCUGGUAGUCCACGCCCUAAACGUUGAUAACUCGUUGUUAGCGAUAUACUGUUAGCGACCAAGCGAAAGCAUUAAGUUAUCCACCUGGAAGUACGGUCGCAAGAUUGAAACUCAAAUGAAUUGACGG
rnacentral:rRNA from 1 species